rnacentral:rRNA from 1 species
GACGAACGCUGGCGGCGUGCUUAACACAUGCAAGUCGAACGGUAAGGCCCUUCGGGGUACACGAGUGGCGAACGGGUGAGUAACACGUGGGUGAUCUGCCCUGCACUUCGGGAUAAGCCUGGGAAACUGGGUCUAAUACCGGAUAGGACUCCGGACUGCAUGGUCUGGGGUGGAAAGCUUUUGCGGUGUGGGAUGGGCCCGCGGCCUAUCAGCUUGUUGGUGGGGUGAUGGCCUACCAAGGCGACGACGGGUAGCCGGCCUGAGAGGGUGACCGGCCACACUGGGACUGGGAUACGGCCCAGACUCCUACGGGAGGCAGAGGUGGGGAAUAUUGCACAAUGGGCGCAAGCCUGAUGCAGCGACGCCGCGUGAGGGAUGACGGCCUUCGGGUUGUAAACCUCUUUCAGCACAGACGAAGCGCAAGUGACGGUAUGUGCAGAAGAAGGACCGGCCAACUACGUGCCAGCAGCCGCCGUAA